rnacentral:rRNA from 1 species
UACGGAGGGGGCUAGCGUUGUUCGGAAUUACUGGGCGUAAAGCGCACGUAGGCGGCUUCGCAAGUCCGAGGUGAAAGCCCAGGGCUCAACCCCGGAACUGCCUUUGAGACUGCGUCGCUCGAAUCCGGGAGAGGCGGGUGGAAUUCCCGGUGUAGAGGUGAAAUUCGUAGAUAUUCGGAAGAACACCAGUGGCGAAGGCGGCCCGCUGGACCGGCCCUGACGCUGAGGUGCGAAAGCGUGGGGAGCAAACGGG